AACCUUAUGGACCUGCGGGCGUAUACCUGCGGAGGGAUCAUUACUGAGUGAGGGCCUUCGGGCUCGACCUCCAACCCUUUGUGAACACAACUUGUUGCUUCGGGGGCGACCCUGCCGUUUCGACGGCGAGCGCCCCCGGAGGCCUUCAAACACUGCAUCUUUGCGUCGGAGUUUAAGUAAAUUAAACAAAACUUUUAACAACGGAUCU
rnacentral:misc_RNA from 1 species